rnacentral:lncRNA from 1 species
UUAUAAGAUGGUUUAACUUCAGGAUCAAAAGUAUAUACAUCGAGGUCUUCACUUUUCUUGUGUGCCAUCAAGCAUAGGUUGGCACAUUAAUCAUCAGAACUUGAGCUAAAAGAUGGAGAAGAGCUUUCAUCUUCUUUUUCCCAAGCAAUAUAGGCUCUACGACCUUAAGCAUGUUUGUCAUUCGUCUUGUAGAAUUCUUUGUCCUUUUUUUAUGAUGUUUGUUGAGACCCAGACAUGUGGUUC